UCACAUUAAAACAACAGUUCCCAUGCGAUCACCAAAGUUAAGCAACAUUGAGCCUGAUCAGUACUUAGAUGGGUGACCACUUUGGAAUACUGGGUGCUGCAAG